GACAGAGGGGGCAAGCGUUGCUCGGAAUCACUGGGCGUAAAGGGCGCGUAGGCGGGCUGGCAAGUCAGUCGUGAAAUCUCUCGGCUCAACCGAGAAACGUCGGCUGAUACUGCCGUUCUUGAGGGAUGCAGAGGAGACUGGAAUUCCCGGUGUAGCGGUGAAAUGUGUAGAGAUCGGGAGGAACACCGGUGGCGAAGGCGGGUCUCUGGGCAGUAACUGACGCUGAGGAGCGAAAGCGUGGGGAGCGAACAGG
rnacentral:rRNA from 1 species